UUUUAAUUGCGGGGGGACACGCUUGUGUUGAGAAGGUUAAAACCUGACCCUUUGAACCUGUUAGUUAAUACUGACGUAGGGAGCGAUUAGUGUUUUUUU
rnacentral:ncRNA from 2 species